GACAAUAAUAAAGUAGGUUCCGCUUGAUGGAAAUACCUUGAAACCAACUGCCUUCAGUCCCUCUUCUAAAAUGGCUUUCUUUGCCAGGUAAUCUUUCUUCAGCCCCUCAUAGUAAGAUUCGGGUGCUCGGAGAGCUGUGGCAGCAGCCGACUGCAUUGGAGUAGAAGUAGCAAACGUAAGGAAAGCAUGUGCUUGUCGCACUCCCCAUGUCAAAUGAGGUGGGG
rnacentral:misc_RNA from 1 species